CUGAGGAGGAGGAAUCUGAGAAGGAGAACUCGGAGGUGAAACCUGAGUAGAAGGAUUUUGGUAGAAGAAGAUAAUCCCGAGAGGGGCCUUGAGUAUGGCCUGGAUGGGCUGAGAGUCUAUCUUCUUUUGAGAAUUCAUUUUGAUGUGAAUAGUUAUGAAGUGAUUUGUGUUUUGUAUAAAAGUUUGGUUAUAAAUUUCAAUAUGAAAAAUAUGGCCCUGCUUUUCUAUCCCAUCGUUUUAUUGUUUGGGGAUUUUAACUGCUUCUGCAUGUGUUUAAUAAAUGAAAGGGUCGGCGAUACAUUGUCCUGGGAUAUCGCAUUAUAAAAUCGACCAAGAGUGAAGGAUGUGCGCGUGCCCGAGGAUCGGGGCGUGACAUCCCCUUUUUGUGGUAUCAGAGCGAAGUUGAAGAUUGGAGUGAUAAGGAGCGUUGACCAUGGGAUAGUUAGUAGGAAAGGCCUUUAAAUUCAGCUGAUGCAUGUCUGUGGUAGCUGAAUGCUAGAAUUGUUUGUUGUGAGUGGAUCGCUCAUCUUCUAAUCCAGUGUGGGUUUGGAAGACGGGUUUCAGUGUAAAGACUGAACCAUGAGCGAGCAGGAGCUGAGAACUCCUAGUAAGAGGACAAUGUCCUCUGUGACUCGGGAUGAUGCACUGACAAAGGUCAGUACCCGAGGUGGUUGUGGCAGAGUGUUGGCUCUGGCCAGCUCGAGUGUAAGUGUACCACCGCAAGUUGGUACUAGUGUAGCAGCGUCGAAUGAUCCUAAGUUCGAUAGGAUCGUUCUGAUGCUAGUGUUCCUUGGGAAUUGGAUGAGCCAGAAGGCUCAGGAUCGAACCGCCAUCAGUGUUGCAAUUGCCGUUGUCGCUUCACCUGCUGAGAUCCAAAGUGGAGAUGUGAUCCAGGAGCGAGUCAUUGCAUUCGAGUUGAGGUAUAGAUCCAGUUCAGGCAGAAAUGGAAAUCGGUCAGGGAAAAGACCGAGGUCAAGAGAAAAGUAUUCUAUUCCACUCACGAGGAAGGAUGGAGUAGUCAAGUCAACACUGAGUCAAAUAGAUCAGGUUGUUUUCAGACGUGAUGAUGGAGAUCAGUAUUAUGUCCUUCAUAGGACGCGAAAUUGUUUGGAGUAUAGCCAACAGGGAUAUCUGGUCAGGAGUGGUCCUAGCAGAAUGAUGGGGCAACCAGAAAGAGUGCAUGCUUUCGCCUAAUAGAAGAUAGAAGAUGCACCAGAUAUGUGUCAGAAUUGUAGAAGGAAGUAUGGAUAAAUCCAGUGUCCAAGUAUGACUAGAACAUGUUGUGAUGAUGACUAGCAUGGCCAUCAGUUGAAGGAUUGUCAGUGGAAGUCCAAAGUAGCAUAGGCAUCGCUACUGCGGCCAAAACGCCACUAGGAUGGCGAAAGGAAUGAGAGUAGAAUGGACCUUGCACCGAUUAGAGAAAGAAUGUGUUGGGAGUGAUUUUAUCAGAGCAACGCAGUAGAGCUUUGUGCUGAGUUGGUAGAACUUAAAUUGUUGAAGUAAAAGUGACAGAGGAGAAAUCAUUAGCAACAUUUGUACUUGACUAGUUGCUGAGGUGUGAGUUUGAUGCCACAUGAAUAUGACACAUGAAUAGUGAGUUCAUAGAGCAUCUGGUGAUAAUGAAUCAUGGUCAUGGAACAAUCCAGUUUAGUCUAUUAGUUUGCGAAAAUGUCGAGAUUAUUAAGAGUCGAAAAGAAUCUUCGAUUUCAUUAAUCUUGCUGGCUGAAGGUAACUUGUUUGUUAGACGGAGGUUACCAAGGUUGCUUGCGCGAGUGUCUUGGGUAAGACAGAUUGGAGAACUAGAGAUGGAGGACAUCUCAGUGGUCUACAAAAUUCUAGAUGUGUUGUCACUAGAACUGUUAGACCGUCGUCAGAAAAAGAAAUAGAAAGUGCAAUCGAGCUAGCACUAGGAUGGAGCUACUCUCGAAGGCUUAUUACCAGUUGUUGUUGUCUGAACUGGUAGAAUUGAAGAUGCAGAUGUGAAGAUUGAUGAAUGAGGUAUUCGUGCAUAUCAGUGCAUCAUUUUGGGGAAACAUCAGUUUUGUUUGUGAGAAAAAGAAAGAUGGUUUGUUGCAAGUAUGCCUCGACCAUCGUCAACUCAAUUAGGUGACAAUCAAGGACAAGCAUCCAUUGUAAAAGAUCGGCGAAUUGGGUAACCAGACAUCAAGAGUGUCGAUGUUUUCAAGGAUCAACUUGAGAACAGGAUGUUGUCAGUUGUGAACCAGGAAUGAGGUUGUACGAAAGUCAGCUGUUCGUACUUGAUAUGGUCUUUAUGAGAGUAUUGUAAGAUUGUUUGGCUUGGUGAACACUCCAGUUGCUAUCAUGGAUUUGACAGAGUGUUCAAGGAAUAUCUAGAUCAGUUUGUGAUCGUGUUCAUUGAUGACAUCUUAGUCUAUUUGAGAAGUGAUGAAGAGCAUGAGAAUCAUCUGAGAUUAGUGCUUCAGACCUUAAGAGCUCAUCAGCUGUAUGCUAAGUUUAGCAAAUGCGAGUUUUGGUUGACUCGUGUUGUGUUCUUAGGUCAUGUGAUUUCCAGAGAAGGAAUCUCUGUCGACCCAAGCAAGAUAGAAGCCGUGAUUAAGUGGCCGAGACCGACAACAGUGUCAGAGAUCAGAAUUUUUCUGGGGUUAGCAGGUUAUUACAGACGGUUUGUGGAAGGGUUCUCAUUGAUAGCGUCGCCUCUGACAAAGUCUUGAAGAAAGAAGAGAAAUUUGUAUGGUCAGACAAGUGCUAGCGUAGUUUCCAAGAGCUGAAGGAAAAGCUGACUACCGCACCUGUGCUGACGAUUCCAUCUGGUCCUGGAGGAUUCGAGAUCUAUAGUGAUGCGUCAUUCAGGAGAUUGGGUUGCGUGCUGAUGCAACAGGGCAGAGUUGUUGCAUACGCUUCCCGGCAGUUAAGACCUCAUGAAUUGAAUUAUCCAACACAUGACUUAGAACUCGCAGCCAUCAUAUUUGCGUUGAAUAUUUGGAGGCGCUACUUGUGCGGAGAAAAGUUUCAGAUCUUCACAGACCAUCAGAGUUUCAAGUAUUUAUUCUCUCAAAAAGAGUUGAACAUGAGACAGCGACGAUGGAUGGAAUUGCUGAAAGACUACGACAGUGAUAUUCUAUAUCACCCAGGAAAGGCGAAUAAGGUCGCCGAUGCAUUAAGUCGGAAGUCUUCAAUAGAGCAAAUCUUGGUUAAGAAGUAGAACUUAAUCGAGAGAGCUCGGGAUUCGGAAUUCAAAUUUGAGGUAGGCCACCUCUCAAGUCUUAUGGCCGCCCUCAAAAUUGAACCGGAUGUCCAAGUCAGAAUCAAAGAACUCCAAUCGACAGAUCCAGAUGUCCAGAGAAUUCUUCAAGAGGAUACCGAUAAAAGACAAGCUGAUUUUCAAGUUUCUAAUGACAAGACUCUAAGGUUUCAAGGAUGUUUGGUUGUACCUGAUGAUGUCGAGCUUAGAGAAGAGAUUUUAUAUGAAGCACAUCGUAGCACUUAUAGCAUUCAUCUUGGAAGUACCAAGAUGUAUCAGAAUCUGCGUCAACACUACUGGUGGUCAGGUAUGAAGGCGGACAUCGCCAAGCAUGUGGCCAAGUGUUUGACUUGUCAGCAAGUAAAAGCCCAGCAUUACAAGCCGGGAGGACUUCUGCAACCUCUUGUGAUCCCAGAGUGGAAAUGGGAGCAUAUCAUGAUGGACUUCGUGAUUGGACUACCAAGGAGUCAGAAGGGGAAUGAUUCGAUUUGGGUAGUAGUCGACAGGCUGACAAAGUCGGCUCACUUCAUUGCAGUUCGAAAGGACCUGAGUCUGGAUAGACACGCAGACCUGUAUGUGCGUCAAGUGGUUCGUAUGCAUGGAGUGCCGGUUACGAUAACAUCUUAUAGAGAUCCGAGGUUUACGGCUGCUUUUUGGAGGAGCUUGUAGAGUGCUUUAGGUACAAAGCUUCGUUACAGUACAGCGUAUCAUCCUCAGACGGAUGACCAGUCUGAAAGGACAAUUCAGACUCUUGAAGACAUGCUGAGAGUGUGUGUAAUAGAUGUCAAAGGAAGUUGGGAAGAUCAGCUUCAUCUGGUGGAAUUCGCCUACAACAACAGUUAUCAACAGAGCAUCAAGAUGACUCCUUUUGAAGCGUUGUAUGGCAGAGCAUGCAGAACUCCAGUGUGUUGGGAUGAAGUCGGAGAAAGGAAGAUAACAGACCCAGAGUUAGUUCAGCAAUCAGUAGAUGCCGUGGCAGUGAUCAGAGAUAGAUUGAAGACAGCGCAGAGCAGGCAGAAAAGUUAUGCAGAUAAGCGCCGAAGGUCUUUGAAAUUCCAAGUUGGUGAUCACAUUUUUCUGAAAGUGUCACCAAUGAGGGGAACUUCGCGCUUUGGUAAGAAAGGCAAACUGAGUCCGAGGUAUGUAGGUCCGUUUGAGAUUCUUGAAAGAAUCGGAAACCUAGCGUAUCGUCUUGCAUUGUCGCCAAGAUUGGCGCAAGUGCAUGACAUCUUUCACGUGUCGAUGUUAAGGAAGUACAAGCCUGACUCGACCCAUGUGCUCAAUUUCGAAAAAUUGGACGUGGAUGACCAUGUGUCAUACGUUGAAAGCCCGGUCCAGAUUGUCGAUCGUAAAGAGCAAGUUUUGCAUACAAAGACCAUUCCGUUGGUCAAAGUGGUCUGGCAACACCACGGCACUGAAGGAACGACUUGGGAGACAGAAGAAUCGAUGAGACAAUUGUACCCCCGCCUUUUUAAUCAAAGUGUGUAAUGGCUUAAAUUUCGAGGACGAAAUUUUUAUAAGAGGGGAAGAGUUGUCAUAUCCUGAAAUUCGACCCCGUUUCAAUAAAGUUAAAUGGGCAUUUCGUCGACGUGCCUAUGGCCAUUUUUCUCUGAGCUGAUCACUCACGAGUUAACUAAUCUAUUGGGUAAAGCCGUUAAGGGAUGUAUCAGCAGUAAAAUCCCUAAAAGCUAAUCCCUAAAAGCUACCUAAUUGGUUGGAUUUGGCUAAAAUCACGUCUGAUCGAUUUUUAACCACGAAAUUGAACUCGAUUUCGGGAAUCGAAUUUUAAGCGCGUCAUAAUUCUUAUUUCUAGGAUCUUGUCUCAUCAUCCGUCAAAUUGUUGACGAGUUCGAAAUUUCAGGAAACAAAUUAUCGGAGGAAAAAUCGAAGUCCAAAAGAAAAUAGAAAGGGAAAGAGAAAUGAAAUAAAAUAAGUGGAAAGGUAAUAUCUUAUUUCCCUCUCUCCCUCUCUCUUCUUUUCUUUCUUUUCUUUCUUUUCUCUUUUCUCUCUCUCCUUUCCCCUUUCCCUUUCCCCUCAUGCGGAUAGCCUCCCCACCGCCCACCUUCUCUCCCUCUUCUUUGACCGGUCAAUGCAUAUCCUCUCCUCUCUCUUCUCUCUCUCUCUUCUCUCUCCUCUCUCUUCUUUCUUCUCGCACGCUCGACCGAACCAGCUUCUUCUUCCCCUUCUUUCUUCGCGAGCGAACCAGAACCAGAAGCAGAAAAUCGGAGACAGCAGCUCGCCCCUCAGCCGUCGCCGCUCGUCUCGCCGCCGCACCGCACGCCCGCGCCCGCGCUCGUGCGCACGCCGCUCGCCGCCGUGCGCCGCCAGCCCUUUCCUCCGCCCAGACGUUCUUCCCCCAAGUGGACCCAGCUUUGUUCGCCUCUACCCAGCCUCCGUCCGGCCACCUCCGGCCACCGCCCAGCCUCGCCGGACCUUCCCGGCGUCCCUCUUGCUCUUCGCCGGCCUCCCCUCGUCGUUUUGGCCGCCGGAUCUGCUCUGACCAGCCAAGGGCAGAGACCCACGAAAUGGGUUUCCAGCACCUUUGAGCUCGCUUUUGGGCCGUUUCCCGGCCCCGAACCCGAGCCGUGCUUUGGGAACAAUCGUUCCUCGCGUCGCCGCCGUCGGAUUGAUCCGAUUUGCGCGCGAUUUGGUGAGUAAUCUCACUAAUCUUGGAUUAGUUGACUAAUUAUGCUUUAAGGUUAGUUUAGUUUUAAUUAAUUAUGUUUAGGUUGUUAGAUUAGAAUAAAUUAGCAAUUAUUAGUCAAUUGUGAUGUGAUUUAGAUAAAUUGAUUGUGCAAUUAACAAGUAGACGUGGUCUACUAUUUAUUGGAAGCAUCUUGGGAAUUUUCCGACCCCUAAUUGGGCUUCAAUUUGGCGAUUCGGGCCUAAGUGUGAUUUUUGGCAUUUAAAUAUUAUUUUUCGGAAUUAAAUUAAUUAAUUAUUUAUUUUCCGAAAAUUCAACUGAGAUGGUCUGGAACCGGAAUUUUAUGCUGAUGACUGUGGUAAAGUCCGUUUAUUUAAUUGGGCUUUAUUUUGUGCUAAAUUGAAUUUUUAAUAUUAAUUAUUUAAUUUUCGAAAUUAAUAAAUUAAAUAAUUAUUUUUCGGAAAUUAAGAUUUUGAUGGCCGAUGACCGAAAUCUCGUGCUGAUCAUCGUGGCGCAGUCCGUUUAAUUAUUUGAGCUCCACGUUGUAUGGAAUUAAAUAAAUUGUGAUAUUUUAGAGAUUUACUCUAAAUUGAUUGGAAUUGAUUGAGACUGAAUUAUGGAUUGGUAAAUGGCGUGGUUAAAUUCUGCAAUUGAGUGUUAAAUUAUGCAAAUUAAGUGCUGAUUGGAUUCUUGGUAUUUAAUUCCAAAAUUUGUGGAUUUUGAUAUUUAUUCAGAAAAUCCCGGGUGUCGGGUUUUAAUACCGAAAAUGGAUUUUAAGUACUAUAUCAAAUAGUGGGGUUUGAAAAAGACAGGUAUCAGUCUUCUGGUUCGAAUUGACCGUGUACCCACACACGACUAUUUUCAGGAUAUUUUUAAUACGAAGGAAAUAGGCCAGGAUCACUAUUUUAAUGGAGGCAUUUGAGUGCAAUGCACAGGGUCCUGGGCCGAGAUUGAGGGUCGUGUGUUGGUUAAGAGAACCAGUCUCGAGCAAUUAUGCCGGACGUUACUAAAUCCCUUUUCGGGUUACCCAUGCAUUAGGGUAGCGGGUCGCAGUAGAUUCUGGACCUACGCCCCUUCGGGGAAGCCGUCUAAUUGAGAGACGUUGCCGUGCUCACGGGGGAGACGACGCCUGGCAAUGCUAGAAGACCGCCAAUAGAGUUGGCUGUACCCUUGAGGGGUGUAAUUAACAAUUGGAACGCAUGAUGGUUGAGUUUGAUGCACCGGAUUAUGAGACAAAAUUGUGUGACAUGGUAUGGGACGUGUCAUAAUGAUUUGGCCUUAUAAUCUGGACCCUUGUGAUUUAUUGAGUUGAGUGAUGCGUUUCAAUUGCUAGAUGUAUCGAUUCUAUACAUAAGGUAUGCGAAUUGUACUGACUUGCAGGUGGAAUCUGAGGCCAAGGUAAGUCAUCUGCCCUAUGCGUGUUUAGGCAGCCUAUAGUAUAAUGGUUUACUAAUCGGGCUUAGUGGGGUAGAACUCGCUGAGACGUAGUCUCAUCCCAGUUUGGGGAAAACAUUUCAAGACUCCGUUGAGGAGCUGAGGAGGAGGAAUCUGAGAAGGAGAACUCGAAGGUGAAACCUGAGUAGAAGGAUUUUGGAAGAAGAAGAUAAUCCCGAGAGGGGCCUUGAGUAUGGCCUAGAUGGGCUGAGAGUCUAUCUUCUUUUGAGAAUUCAUUUUGAUGUGAAUAGUUAUGAAGUGAUUUGUGUUUUGUAUAAAAGUUUGGUUAUAAAUUUCAAUAUGAAAAAUAUGGCCCUGCUUUUCUAUCCCAUCGUUUUAUUGUUUGGGGAUUUUAACUGCUUCCGCAUGUGCUUAAUAAAUGAAAGGGUCGGCGAUACAUUGUC
rnacentral:lncRNA from 1 species